UACGGAGGGUGCGAGCGUUGUCCGGAAUCACUGGGCGUAAAGGGCGCGUAGGUGGCCUGUGGAAGUCUGCGGUGAAAGCCCGGCGCUCAACGCCGGGUCGGCCGUGGAUACUCUCGGGCUUGAGCUCACUAGAGGCAGAUGGAAUUCCCGGUGUAGCGGUGAAAUGCGCAGAUAUCAGGAGGAACACCAAUUGCGAAGGCAGCUCGCUGGGACGUUACUGACGCUGAGACGCGAAAGCGUGGGGAGCAAACAGG
rnacentral:rRNA from 1 species